rnacentral:rRNA from 1 species
UAGGGAAUCUUGGACAAUGGGCGCAAGCCUGAUCCAGCCAUGCCGCGUGAGUGAAGAAGGCCUUCGGGUUGUAAAGCUCUUUUACCAGGGACGAUAAUGACGGUACCUGGAGAAUAAGCCCCGGCAAACUUCGUGUCAGCAGCCGCGGUAAUACGAAGGGGGCUAGCGUUGUUCGGAAUUACUGGGCGUAAAGCGCACGUAGGCGGAUUGUUAAGUCAGGGGUGAAAUCCUGGGGCUCAACCCCAGAACUGCCUUUGAUACUGGCUGUCUCGAGGUCGAGAGAGGUUGGUGGAAUUCCUAGUGUAGAGGUGAAAUUCGUAGAUAUUAGGAAGAACACCAGUGGCGAAGGCGGCCAACUGGCUCGAUACUGACGCUGAGGUGCGAAAGCGUGGGGAGCAAACAGGAUUAGAUACCCCUGUAGUCCCUGAGCGGGCUGGCAAGGCGCAU